GACAAUAGUUCUUCACAAGUAGAUGAGAGGAGCGAUGGAAGUGACGUUUCUAAAGGCAAUGAACAGGAGGUGAAAAACACAAGUUCUGAUAAGAAGAAACAGAAAGAGUUGAGGUGGCAGCAAGAGCAGGAGAAGAGAAAUCAAAAGAAAACACUGGAAAGGGACAACAAAUACAGAAAGAAA